CCUACGGGAGGCAGCAGUGGGGAAUAUUGGACAAUGGGGGGAACCCUGAUCCAGCCAUGCCGCGUGUGUGAAGAAGGCCCUCGGGUUGUAAAGCACUUUCAGUGAGGAAGAACGCCUGGUGGUUAAUACCCAUCAGGAAAGACAUCACUCACAGAAGAAGCACCGGCUAACUCCGUGCCAGCAGCCGCGGUAAUACGGAGGGUGCGAGCGUUAAUCGGAAUUACUGGGCGUAAAGCGCGCGUAGGUGGCUUGAUAAGCCGGUUGUGAAAGCCCCGGGCUCAACCUGGGAACGGCAUCCGGAACUGUCAAGCUAGAGUGCAGGAGAGGAAGGUAGAAUUCCCGGUGUAGCGGUGAAAUGCGUAGAGAUCGGGAGGAAUAACAGUGGCGAAGGCGGCCUUCUGGACUGACACUGACACUGAGGUGCGAAAGCGUGGGUAGCAAACAGGAUUAGAUACCCGGGUAGUC
rnacentral:rRNA from 1 species